rnacentral:rRNA from 1 species
CCUACGGGAGGCAGCAGUGGGGAAUCUUGCGCAAUGGGCGAAAGCCUGACGCAGCCAUGCCGCGUGAAUGAUGAAGGUCUUAGGAUUGUAAAAUUCUUUCACCGAGGACGAUAAUGACGGUACUCGGAGAAGAAGCCCCGGCUAACUUCGUGCCAGCAGCCGCGGUAAUACGAAGGGGGCUAGCGUUGCUCGGAAUUACUGGGCGUAAAGGGAGCGUAGGCGGAUAGUUUAGUCAGAGGUGAAAGCCCAGGGCUCAACCUUGGAAUUGCCUUUGAUACUGGCUAUCUUGAGUACGGAAGAGGUAUGUGGAACUCCGAGUGUAGAGGUGAAAUUCGUAGAUAUUCGGAAGAACACCAGUGGCGAAGGCGACAUACUGGUCCGUUACUGACGCUGAGGCUCGAAAGCGUGGGGAGCAAACAGGAUUAGAUACCCUGGUAGUCCACGCUGUAAACGAUGAGUGCUAGUUGUCGGCAUGCAUGCAUGUCGGUGACGCAGCUAACGCAUUAAGCACUCCGCCUGGGGAGUACGGUCGCAGAUUAAAACUCAAAUGAAUUGACGG